UCUUCAUUUCCGACACUCUCUCGCCGGUCAGAGAGGGGAAAGAGUGUGUGAAAUGAAGAGA
rnacentral:pre_miRNA from 1 species